GAGUUUGAUCCUGGCUCAGAUUGAACGCUGGCGGCAGGCCUAACACAUGCAAGUCGAGCGGAUGACGGGAGCUUGCUCCUUGAUUCAGCGGCGGACGGGUGAGUAAUGCCUGGGAAUCUGCCUGGUAGUGGGGGACAACGUUUCGAAAGGAACGCUAAUACCGCAUACGUCCUACGGGAGAAAGCAGGGGACCUUCGGGCCUUGCGCUAUCAGAUGAGCCUAGGUCGGAUUAGCUAGUUGGUGGGGUAAUGGCUCACCAAGGCGACGAUCCGUAGCAGGUCUGAGAGGAUGAUCUGCCACACUGGAACUGAGACACGGUCCAGACUCCUACGGGAGGCAGCAGUGGGGAAUUUUGGACAAUGGGGGCAACCCUGAUCCAGCCAUGCCGCGUGAGUGAAGAAGGCCUUCGGUUGUAAG
rnacentral:rRNA from 1 species